GGCAGGAAAGACAGGUGGUGCAUGGUUGUCGUCAGCUCGUGUCGUGAGAUGUUGGGUUAAGUCCCGCAACGAGCGCAACCCCUGUCCCCAGUAGCCAGCGCGCAGCGGCGGGCACUCUGGGGAGACUGCCGGGGACAACCCGGAGGAAGGCGGGGACGACGUCAAAUCAUCAUGCCCCUUAUGGCUUGGGCUACACACGUGCUACAAUGGCGCCGACAAAGGGAAGCGAAGCGGCGACGUGGAGCAAAUCCCAAAAACGGCGCCCCAGUUCGGAUUGUAGUCUGCAACCCGACUACAUGAAGCCGGAAUCGCUAGUAAUCGCGGAUCAGAAUGUCGCGGUGAAUACGUUCCCGGGUCUUGUACACACCGCCCGUCACACCAUGGGAGCCGGAAAUGCCCGAAGUCAGUGGCCCAACCGGAAGGAGGGAGCUGCCGAAGGCAGGUCUGGUGACUGGGGUGAAGUCGUAACAAGGUAGCCGUAUCGGAAGGUGCGGCUGGAUCACCUC
rnacentral:rRNA from 1 species